rnacentral:rRNA from 1 species
UAACAAGGAUUCCCCUAGUAACUGCGAGUGAAGCGGGAAGAGCUCAAAUUUAAAAUCUGGCGGUCUUCUGGCUGUCCGAGUUGUAAUCUGGAGAAGCGUUUUCUGUGUUAGACCGUGUACAAGUCUCCUGGAACGGAGCGUCAUAGAGGGUGAGAAUCCCGUCCAUGACACGGACUACUAAUACUUUGUGAUACGCUCUCGAAGAGUCGAGUUGUUUGGGAAUGCAGCUCAAAAUGGGUGGUAAAUUCCAUCUAAAGCUAAAUACAGGCGAGAGACCGAUAGCGAACAAGUACCGUGAGGGAAAGAUGAAAAGCACUUUGGAAAGAGAGUUAAACAGUACGUGAAAUUGUUGGAAGGGAAACGCUUGAAGUCAGUCGCGUUGUGCAGAACUCAGCCUUGCCUCGGCUUGGUGUACUUUCUGCACAACGGGUCAACAUCAAUUUUGGCCCAUGGAGAAAGGUGGGGGGAAUGUAGCGCUGUUUCGGCAGCGUGUUAUAGCCCUCUAUUGUAUACAUGGGCUGGGAUUGAGGAUCGCAGCACGCCCUUGUGGCCGGGGGUUCGCCCUACGUACCGUGCUUAGGAUGUUGGCAGAAUGGCUUUAAGCGACCCGUCUUGAAACACGGACCAAGGAGUCUAACAUGCUUGCGAGUGUUCGGGUGGAAAACCCUUGUGCGUAAUGAAAGUGAAAGUUGGGAACCUCCGCAAGGGGGUGCACCGACGCCCGGCCCUGACGUUCUCUGACGGUGCUGCGGUAGAGCAAGUAUGCUAGGACCCGAAAGAUGGUGAACUAUGCCUGAAUAGGGCGAAGCCAGAGGAAACUCUGGUGGAGGCUCGUAGCGAUUCUGACGUGCAAAUCGAUCGUCAAAUUUGGG